rnacentral:rRNA from 1 species
UUGGUCAUUUAGAGGAAGUAAAAGUCGUAACAAGGUUUCCGUAGGUGAACCUGCGGAAGGAUCAUUACCGAGAGUUGUAGGCUUCUGUCUACCAUCUCUUACCCAUGUCUUUUGCGUACUAUACGUUUCCUCGGCAGGUCCGCCUGCCGCUAGGACAAACAUAAACCAUUUGCAGUUGCAGUCAGCGUCUGAAAAAACUUAAUAAUUACAACUUUCAACAACGGAUCUCUUGGUUCUGGCAUCGAUGAAGAACGCAGCGAAAUGCGAUAAGUAGUGUGAAUUGCAGAAUUCAGUGAAUCAUCGAAUCUUUGAACGCACAUUGCGCCCCUUGGUAUUCCAUUGGGCAUGCCUGUUCGAGCGUCAUUUGUACCUUCAAGCUCUGCUUGGUGUUGGGUGUUUGUCCCGCCUCUGCGCGUGGACUCGCCUUAAAGCAAUUGGCAGCCGGCGUAUAGAUUUCGGAGCGCAGCACAAAACGCGCUUUGUUAGCAAUACGGUGGCAUCCAUCAAGACUUUUUUUAACUCUUGACCUCGGAUCAGGUAGGGAUACCCGCUGAACUUAAGCAUAUCAAUAAG